AUUACUAAAAUAAAAUUUUCCUUUACUGCAAACCUUGUGGUUGGAGUAUAAAGUCCAAUUCAGCUUCAAAGCACAGCCAAUGGCAAGAUUGCUGAGUCACUCCAAUGUGGGAGUGAAAUGCCCUCUAUUCCUACAAGGCAGGCUUGCAUCUUGUUUAAUUUCAAUUUUGAUAUGUAUGCCAUUCUUGGGAACUUUGUUAAGAUCUUAAAAUUUGAUAUGAUCAUGAUGUCUUACAAUUGUUUCCCCAAGGAUUUUCCGUGCAAAAAACAAAUGUGGCAUUUGAUAUAAGAUGCACACUGUCAAAAUAACAAACACAAAAAUCAAAGAAAUGAAAACAAUAAUUUACUAUUCUUGCUUUUCUUUUAAUCACACCAUGAUUUGUAUAAUAUUAUAUGAAAUAUAUUCCAAAUAACAUCUCUAUAUUAAAGGAUUAGGCCCAAUUCUGUGAUAAGGCAACCACACUAAAACAGACAGGGAACAGAGAAAGCAUAUCACAAUUCUAUACAGACAUGAAUCUGAAAUAUGAAUAUUUUACAACUUGUUUUUAAACAGCUGACAGAGGCUGAAAUAAAUACUAUGAUACACCUAUAUACAGAGUGGCACAAACACAGAUAUUUUACAUCAGUUAUAUGUAGUGAGAAUAAAUAGACUAGUGCGAAUCCAGUUUCACAAGAUCCACAAAAUUUCCUUGUUUUCACAGGAAUCUUUACAUUUGAAUAUUGAGAAGAUAGGUAUGCAUUUAAUGUAGAAUUAGCCCCCAUUGUAUCAGAGGUGGUUCAAUAAAAUUGAUUCACAAUAUUUGAAAUCGAUCUCAUAAACAUAAAAACAUAAAGGUUUAGAAUCAAUCACUAAAUGGAUACUGAAUAAUCAAGAUCUUUGUUGUACAAGAAUGUGCACAUGGUGAAACGUGUGCUUUUGAUCCAUCUGAAUAGGUUGAAAUUUACUAUUGGUUGCAAAUUUUCGUGUUAGAGAGGCCAAGGUGAUGUUUUACAAAGAGAUAUCUAUUUUCAUUUGCAAGUGCCUUUGCUCACGUUAUUUAACACAUAAUCUCACUUAGGCAGGAGCACAUGUCCCUUGGCUAGGGUAUGAUGCGACUAAUUCAGUGAUGUAUUAUACAGCAUACAAUUGUUGGUACAAUUUAGAAUCAGACUUCAGUUUUUGUGAAAAAAAAACCCUGGGGGGUGUUCCACAAAGAUUUAAGUACGACUUACAGUCGCGUCUAAAUGCUGACGCGUACAUUUUUAUGCAACGCGCAAUCUUAUCCAUCGAUGCGCUGUAGUGCACGUCCUGUACAUGUAGAUCAACCCCCAAAUUAUGAUUAAUCUCUCUAUACCAAGAUUUCACAGUACAACACUAUAUAGGAUAGUCUAU